GGCUCAGGAUGAACGCUGGCGGCGUGCCUAAUACAUGCAAGUCGAACGAGGUGCUUUUGUAGCAAUACGAGAGUAUCCUAGUGGCGAACGGGUGAGUAACGCGUUGGUGACCUACCCCAAAGUGCGGGAUAACAGUCCGAAAGGAUUGCUAAUACCGCAUGUGGUUUUUGGUUUUAGAAACCAAUCUCUAAAGGAGCAAUUCGCUUUGGGAGGGACCUGCGUCCCAUCAGCUAGUUGGUGAGGUAACGGCCCACCAAGGCUACGACGGGUAGGGGACCUGAGAGGGUGGCCCCCCACAAUGGAACUGAAACACGGUCCAUACACCUACGGGUGGCAGCAGUAGGGAAUAUUGGGCAAUGGGCGAAAGCCUGACCCAGCAACGCCGCGUGUGUGAUGAAGGCCUUCGGGUCGUAAAGCACUUUUCUGGGAGAUGAGAAAGGACAGUAUCCCAGGAAUAAGUCUCGGCUAACUACGUGCCAGCAGCCGCGGUAAAACGUAGGAGGCGAGCGUUAUCCGGAUUCACUGGGCGUAAAGCGCGUGCAGGUGGCGCGGUAAGUUGGGCGUGAAAUCUCCCGGCUCAACUGGGAGAGGUCGUUCAAUACUACCGUGCUUGAGAGCAGAAGAGGAAGAUGGAAUUCCCGGUGUAGUGGUGAAAUGCGUAGAUAUCGGGAGGAACACCAGUGGCGAAGGCGAUCUUCUGGUCUGUUUCUGACACUCAGACGCGACAGCUAGGGUAGUAAACGGGAUUAGAGACCCCGGUAAUCCUAGCCGUAAACGAUGUGAACUUGGCGUUGGUGGGUUAAACUCCAUCAGUGCCGUAGCAAACGCGAUAAGUUCACCGCCUGGGGACUAC
rnacentral:rRNA from 1 species